rnacentral:rRNA from 1 species
CAGUCGCCGCGGUAAUACAGAGGGUGCAAGCGUUAAUCGGAAUUACUGGGCGUAAAGCGCGCGUAGGUGGUUUGUUAAGUUGGAUGUGAAAUCCCCGGGCUCAACCUGGGAACUGCAUCCGAAACUGGCAAGCUAGAGUAUGGUAGAGGGUGGUGGAAUUUCCUGUGUAGCGGUGAAAUGCGUAGAUAUAGGAAGGAACACCAGUGGCGAAGGCGACCACCUGGACUGAUACUGACACUGAGGUGCGAAAGCGUGGGGAGCAAACAGGAUUAGAUACCCCCGUAGUCCCUGUCUCUUAUAC